GGCAGGUUAGUUCAGCCGGUUAGAACGUGGUGCUAGUAAUGCCAAGGUUGCGGCUUCGACUCCCGUACGGGCCA
rnacentral:tRNA from 1 species